UUUGGUUAAGUUAGAAAGGGCGCACGGUGGAUGCCUUGACACUAGGAGUCGAUGAAGGACGGGACUAACGCCGAUAUGCUUCGGGGAGCUGUAAGUAAGCUUUGAUCCGAAGAUUUCCGAAUGGGGAAACCCACCAUACGUAAUGGUAUGGUAUCCUUAUCUGAAUACAUAGGGUAAGGAAGACAGACCCAGGGAACUGAAACAUCUAAGUACCUGGAGGAAGAGAAAGCAAAUGCGAUUUCCUGAGUAGCGGCGAGCGAAACGGAACAUAGCCCAAACCAAGAGGCUUGCCUCUUGGGGUUGUAGGACAUUCUAUACGGAGUUACAAAGGAACGAGGUAGACGAAGCGACCUGGAAAGGUCCGUCGUAGAGGGUAACAACCCCGUAGUCGAAACUUCGUUCUCUCUUGAAUGUAUCCUGAGUACGGCGGAACACGUGAAAUUCCGUCGGAAUCUGGGAGGACCAUCUCCCAAGGCUAAAUACUCCCUAGUGAUCGAUAGUGAACCAGUACCGUGAGGGAAAGGUGAAAAGCACCCCGGAAGGGGAGUGAAAGAGAUCCUGAAACCGUGUGCCUACAAAUAGUCAGAGCCCGUUAACGGGUGAUGGCGUGCCUUUUGUAGAAUGAACCGGCGAGUUACGAUCCCGUGCGAGGUUAAGCUGAAGAGGCGGAGCCGCAGCGAAAGCGAGUCUGAAUAGGGCGUUUAGUACGUGGUCGUAGACCCGAAACCAGGUGAUCUACCCAUGUCCAGGGUGAAGUUCAGGUAACACUGAAUGGAGGCCCGAACCCACGCACGUUGAAAAGUGCGGGGAUGAGGUGUGGGUAGCGGAGAAAUUCCAAUCGAACCUGGAGAUAGCUGGUUCUCCCCGAAAUAGCUUUAGGGCUAGCCUUAAGUGUAAGAGUCUUGGAGGUAGAGCACUGAUUGGACUAGGGGUCCUCAUCGGAUUACCGAAUUCAGUCAAACUCCGAAUGCCAAUGACUUAUCCUUAGGAGUCAGACUGCGAUGAUAAGAUCCGUAGUCAAAAGGGAAACAGCCCAGACCGCCAGCUAAGGUCCCAAAGUGUGUAUUAAGUGGAAAAGGAUGUGGAGUUGCUUAGACAACUAGGAUGUUGGCUUAGAAGCAGCCACCAUUUAAAGAGUGCGUAAUAGCUCACUAGUCGAGUGACUCUGCGCCGAAAAUGUACCGGGGCUAAAUACACCACCGAAGCUGCGGAUUGAUACCAAUGGUAUCAGUGGUAGGGGAGCGUUCUAAGGACAGUGAAGUCAGACCGGAAGGACUGGUGGAGUGCUUAGAAGUGAGAAUGCCGGUAUGAGUAGCGAAAGACGGGUGAGAAUCCCGUCCACCGAAUGCCUAAGGUUUCCUGAGGAAGGCUCGUCCGCUCAGGGUUAGUCAGGACCUAAGCCGAGGCCGACAGGCGUAGGCGAUGGACAACAGGUUGAUAUUCCUGUACCACCUCUUUAUCGUUUGAGCAAUGGAGGGACGCAGAAGGAUAGAAGAAGCGUGCGAUUGGUUGUGCACGUCCAAGCAGUUAGGCUGAUUAAGUAGGCAAAUCCGCUUAUCGUGAAGGCUGAGCUGUGAUGGGGAAGCUCCUUAUGGAGCGAAGUCUUUGAUUCCCCGCUGCCAAGAAAAGCUUCUAGCGAGAUAAAAGGUGCCUGUACCGCAAACCGACACAGGUAGGCGAGGAGAGAAUCCUAAGGUGUGCGAGAGAACUCUGGUUAAGGAACUCGGCAAAAUGACCCCGUAACUUCGGGAGAAGGGGUGCUUUCUUAACGGAAAGCCGCAGUGAAUAGGCCCAAGCGACUGUUUAGCAAAAACACAGCUCUCUGCGAAGCCGUAAGGCGAAGUAUAGGGGGUGACACCUGCCCGGUGCUGGAAGGUUAAGGAGAGGGGUUAGCGUAAGCGAAGCUCUGAACUGAAGCCCCAGUAAACGGCGGCCGUAACUAUAACGGUCCUAAGGUAGCGAAAUUCCUUGUCGGGUAAGUUCCGACCCGCACGAAAGGUGUAACGAUUUGGGCACUGUCUCAACCAGAGACUCGGUGAAAUUAUAGUACCUGUGAAGAUGCAGGUUACCCGCGACAGGACGGAAAGACCCCGUGGAGCUUUACUGUAGCCUGAUAUUGAAUUUUGGUACAGUUUGUACAGGAUAGGCGGGAGCCUUUGAAACCGGAGCGCUAGCUUCGGUGGAGGCGCUGGUGGGAUACCGCCCUGACUGUAUUGAAAUUCUAACCUACGGGUCUUAUCGACCCGGGAGACAGUGUCAGGUGGGCAGUUUGACUGGGGCGGUCGCCUCCUAAAGUGUAACGGAGGCGCCCAAAGGUUCCCUCAGAAUGGUUGGAAAUCAUUCGUAGAGUGCAAAGGCAUAAGGGAGCUUGACUGCGAGACCUACAAGUCGAGCAGGGACGAAAGUCGGGCUUAGUGAUCCGGUGGUUCCGCAUGGAAGGGCCAUCGCUCAACGGAUAAAAGCUACCCCGGGGAUAACAGGCUUAUCUCCCCCAAGAGUCCACAUCGACGGGGAGGUUUGGCACCUCGAUGUCGGCUCAUCGCAUCCUGGGGCUGUAGUCGGUCCCAAGGGUUGGGCUGUUCGCCCAUUAAAGCGGUACGCGAGCUGGGUUCAGAACGUCGUGAGACAGUUCGGUCCCUAUCCGUCGUGGGCGUAGGAAAUUUGAGAGGAGCUGUCCUUAGUACGAGAGGACCGGGAUGGACGCACCGCUGGUGUACCAGUUGUUCUGCCAAGGGCAUAGCUGGGUAGCUAUGUGCGGAAGGGAUAAGUGCUGAAAGCAUCUAAGCAUGAAGCCCCCCUCAAGAUGAGAUUUCCCAUAGCGUAAGCUAGUAAGAUCCCUGAAAGAUGAUCAGGUUGAUAGGUUCGAGGUGGAAGCAUGGUGACAUGUGGAGCUGACGAAUACUAAUAGAUCGAGGACUUAACCAUAUAA
rnacentral:rRNA from 1 species